GCAAAUAGCUCAGUCAGUAGAGCACGAGACUCUUGAUCUCAGGGUCAUGGGUUUGAACCCCACAUUGAGCA